AGUUCCAGGAAAUAGCCCCACCGUAUAGACCGUACCCGAAACCGACACAGGUGGUCUGGUAGAGUAUACCAAGGCGCUUGAGAGAAGUGUGCUGAAGGAACUCGGCAAAUUGCCUCCGUACCUUCGGAAGAAGGAGGCCCCAUGUUAAGGCAACUUUUCAUGGGGGGCACAGGCCAGGGGGUAGCGACUGUUUAGCAAAAACACAGGGCUCUGCUAAGUCGGCUUCAAGACGACGUAUAGGGUCUGACGCCUGCCCGGUGCCUGAAUGUUAAGUGGAGGGGUGCAAGCUCCGAAAUGAAGCCCAGGUAAACGGCGGCCGUAACUAUAACGGUCCUAAGGUAGCGAAAUUCCUUGUCGGGUAAGUUCCGACCUGCACGAAUGGCGUAACGACUUCCCCACUGUCUCCAGCACAUGCUCAGCGAAAUUGAAUUCUCCGUGAAGAUGCGGAGUACCCGCGGUUAGACGGAAAGACCCCGUGCACCUUUACUGCAGCUUCAGAGUGGCAUUAGGAAAGAACUGUGUAGCAUAGGUGGGAGGCUUUGAAUCCGGGACGCCAGUUCCGGGGGAGCCAUAGGUGAAAUACCACCCUGUUGUUUUCUGAUGUCUAACCUCGAUCCAUGAAACUGGAUCAGGGACCCUCUGUGGCGGGUAGUUUGACUGGGGCGGUCGCCUCCUAAAGAGUAACGGAGGCGCGCGAAGGUUGGCUCAGGCCGGUUGGAAACCGGCUGUUAGAGUGCAAUGGCAUAAGCCAGCCUGACUGCGAGACUGACAAGUCGAGCAGAGACGAAAGUCGGUCAUAGUGAUCCGGUGGUCCCUCGUGGAAGGGCCAUCGCUCAACGGAUAAAAGGUACGCCGGGGAUAACAGGCUGAUAACCCCCAAGAGCUCAUAUCGACGGGGUUGUUUGGCACCUCGAUGUCGGCUCAUCACAUCCUGGGGCUGGAGCAGGUCCCAAGGGUUUGGCUGUUCGCCAAUUAAAGUGGUACUUGAGCUGGGUUCAGAACGUCGCGAGACAGUUUGGUCCCUAUCUGCCGUGGGCGUCGAAAUUUGAGAGGAGUUGACCCUAGUACGAGAGGACCGGGUUGAACAUGCCUCUGGUGGACCUGUCAUCGUGCCAACGGUGCAGCAGGGUAGCUAUGCAUGGACGGGAUAACCGCUGAAAGCAUCUAAGCGGGAAGCCUCCCUCGAGAUAAGAUUUCUUAGAGCGGUCGAAGACCACGACCUUGAUAGGCCGGAUGUGGAAGUGCGGUAACGCAUGGAGCUAACCGGUCCUAAUUGCUCC
rnacentral:rRNA from 1 species